rnacentral:rRNA from 1 species
AGAGUUUGAUCCUGGCUCAGAUUGAACGCUGGCGGAAUGCUUUACACAUGCAAGUCGAACGGCAGCAUAGAGAGCUUGCUCUCUGAUGGCGAGUGGCGAACGGGUGAGUAAUAUAUCGGAACGUGCCUAGUAAUGGGGAACAACUAAUCGAAAGAUUAGCUAAUACCGCAUACGACCUACGGGUGAAAGCAGGGGAUCUUCGGACCUUGCGUUAUUAGAGCGGCCGAUAUCUGAUUAGCUUGUUGGUAGGGUAAAAGCCUACCAAGGCGACGAUCAGUAGCUGGUCUGAGAGGACGAUCAGCCACACUGGAACUGAGACACGGUCCAGACUCCUACGGGAGGCAGCAGUGGGGAAUUUUGGACAAUGGGGGCAACCCUGAUGGUGCAACGCCGCGUGGAGGAUGACGGUCCUAGGAUUGUAAACUCCUGUCAUUGGGGAGUAAGACUUAAGCGUUAAGAGCGUUUAAGUUUGAUAGUACCCAAAGAGGAAGGGACGGCUAACUUCGUGCCAGCAGCCGCGGUAAUACGAAGGUCCCAAGCGUUGUUCGGAAUUACUGGGCGUAAAGCGUGUGUAGGCUGCGCGGAAAGUCAAAUGUGAAAGCCCGGGGCUCAACCUCGGAACUGCAUUCGAUACUCCCGUGCUAGAGUAAUGGAGAGGUAAGUGGAAUUCCUGGUGUAGCAGUGAAAUGCGUGGAUAUCAGGAGGAACAUCAAUGGCGAAGGCAACUUACUGGACAUUUACUGACGCUCAGACACGAAGGCUAGGGUAGCGAAAGGGAUUAGAUACCCCUGUAGUCCUAGCAGUAAACGGUGCUCGCUUGGUGUGGGAGGAUUCGACCCCUUCUGUGCCGGAGCUAACGCGUUAAGCGAGCCGCCUGGGAAGUACGGUCGCAAGACUAAAACUCAAAGAAAUUGACGGGGACCCGCACAAGCGGUGGAGUAUGUGGCUUAAUUCGAUGCAACGCGAAGAACCUUACCUAGGCUUGACAUGCUUGUCGUACUCUCCCGAAAAGGAGAGGUCACUUCGGGUGGACAAUGCACAGGUGCUGCAUGGCCGUCGUCAGCUCGUGUCGUGAGAUGUUUGGUUAAGUCCAGCAACGAGCGCAACCCCUGUGAACUGUUGCCAGCGCGUAAAGGCGGGGACUCUGUUCAGACUGCCCAGAUCAACUGGGAGGAAGGUGGGGACGACGUCAGGUCAGUAUGGCCCUUACGCCUAGGGCUGCACACGUACUACAAUGCCCAGCACAAUGAGAACCGAGACCGCAAGGUGGAGGAAAUCUGUAAAACUGGGCCCAGUUCGGAUUGGAGGCUGCAACUCGCCUCCAUGAAGUUGGAAUCGCUAGUAAUGCCGUAUCAGCUACGACGGCGUGAAUACGUUCCCGGGUCUUGUACACACCGCCCGUCACAUCAUGGAAGCCGGUCGCACCCGAAGUAUAUGCGCUAACUUUAUUGAAGCAGUAUCCUAAGGUGAGGCUGGUAACUGGGAUGAAGUCGUAACAAGGUAACC